UACGGGGGGAGCAAGCGUUGUUCGGAUUUACUGGGCGUAAAGGGCGCGUAGGCGGCGCAACAAGUCACUUGUGAAAUCUCCGGGCUUAACCCGGAGCGGUCAAGUGAUACUGUCGUGCUAGAGUGCGGAAGGGGCUACUGGAAUUCUCGGUGUAGCGGUGAAAUGCGAUAGAUAUCGAGAGGGAACACCUGGCGGCGAAGGCGGGUAGCUGGGCCGACACU
rnacentral:rRNA from 1 species